AACCUCCGCAAUGUGAGAAAUCGCGACGGGGGGAUCCCAAGUGCCAUUCUUAACGGGAUGGCUUUUCUUAAGUGUAAAAAGCUUUUGGAAUAAGAGCUGGGCAAGACCGGUGCCAGCCGCCGCGGUAACACCGGCAGCUCUAGUGGUAGCUGUUUUUAUUGGGCCUAAAGCGUUCGUAGCCGGUUUGAUAAGUCACUGGUGAAAUCCUGUAGCUUAACUGUGGGAAUUGCUGGUGAUACUGUUGAACUUGAGGUCGGGAGAGGUUAGCGGUACUCCCAGGGUAGAGGUGAAAUUCUGUAAUCCUGGGAGGACCACCUGUGGCGAAGGCGGCUAACUGGAACGAACCUGACGGUGAGGGACGAAAGCUAGGGGCGCGAACCGGAUUAGAUACCCGGGUAGUCCUAGCCGUAAACGAUGCGGACUUGGUGUUGGGGUGGCUUUGAGCUGCUCCAGUGCCGAAGGGAAGCUGUUAAGUCCGCCGCCUGGGAAGUACGGUCGCAAGACUGAAACUUAAAGGAAUU
rnacentral:rRNA from 1 species